rnacentral:rRNA from 1 species
GGUUAACGCUGGCGGCGUGCCUAACACAUGCAAGUCGAACGGUUCUAAGCGCGAGCUUAGGAUAGUGGCGAACGGGUGAGUAAAAGGUAGGAAUCUACCCCUUGGACGGAGAUAGCUACUGGAAACGGUAGGUAAACUUCGAUAAGGCCCGAGAGGGGAAAGUGGUGAGACAGCCGAGGGAUGAGCCUACUCUCCAUCAGGUAGUUGGUGAGAUAAAAGCUUACCAAGCCGAUGACGGAUAACCGGUGUCGAGAGCAUGAACGGUCACAAGGGCACUGAGAGACGGGCCCUACUCCUACGGGAGGCAGCAGUGGGGAAUCUUGGACAAUGGGCGAAAGCCUGAUCCAGCGACGCCGCGUGGAGGAAGAAGUCCUUCGGGAUGUAAACUUCUGAACUAGCCGAAUAAAAGGCCUGUGGACACACAGGAGAAGAAAGUAGGCUAGGAAAAGUCCCGGCUAACUACGUG